UGUGGCUAUAUUAUGAAGUAGUGAAGUUACCUUCCAACAUUCACAUUGAUCUCUUGAGUUUCAUUUUCAUAAUUAUUAUUAGAUAUACAAGUCAGGAGCUUGUAAUUGAGUGGUUGUUAUUUUUGUUGUUUCUAAUUUUUGUUUUUCUUUUAUUGAUUUUGUUUGUUUGUUCUAAUGUUGUGAAGUAACAUUACUGUCACAGGUUAGGGGGAGGGUUUGGCAACAACAAGCUAUAUAUAUAUAAGUUUUACAUGGCCACAUUCUGUAUGUGUCUGUCCCAAGUCUGGAGUACAGUACUACUAUAUUUGGAAGAAAUAUAGCUAAUCAUAAAAUAUU
rnacentral:lncRNA from 1 species